rnacentral:tRNA from 1 species
GGAGGGGUGCUCCGAAUUGGUUAAGGAACCGGUCUUGAAAACCGGCGCCCGCAAGGGCUUGCAGGUUCGAGCCCUGUCCCCUCCG